rnacentral:rRNA from 1 species
AUGGCCGAAUGUGGCGCCCCGUCAGGAGCAAUCAAUUGCCUAAGUUGGAACUGUCGCGGCGCGGCCAACAAACCAACAGUUCGGGAGUUGGUGGGACUUGCGAGGACUGACAUUGCACAUUUGGUCUUUUGUGAAACUAGAGUUAAAGCUGAAAAAGUGCGUCGUUUAAGAGGUAGACUGGGUCUGAGAGGUUUUGCAGGAUGUGAUAGUAAUGGUUUGAGUGGGGGACUAGCCCUCUUUUGGAGUGAUCAAAUAUUUGUUGAUGUUCAAGAAGUAAAUGAAAGAUAUAUAGAUGCGUACGUCCGUGUGUAUGAUAAUGAUCCACUUUGGCACUUGACCUGUGUGUAUGGUGGGCCAAGGGUGGAAAACCGUCACUUGAUGUGGGAAAAAUUGUAAAACUUAAAAACAAAGUCUCCAUUACCAUGGUGUGUGAUUGGCUACUUCAAUGAAGCCAUGUGGUCUUUCGAACACCUUUCAGUUUCACAACGUGGAGAAAGACAGAUGCUGGCCUUCAGAGAUACCUUGGAGAUAUGUGAGUUGUCAGAUUUGGGUUUUUCGGGUGUGCCUUUUACCUAUGACAAUAAGCAAGCUGGACAUCGAAAUGUUAAAGUUCGCCUUGACCGGGCUGUGGCAGACAACCGAUGGCGGGACAUCUUCUCGGAGACACAAGUUGUACACAAUGUCAGUCCUUGCUCGAACCACUGUCCAGUGGUGUUAAAGUGCAUAAAAGAAGAGAAGCUGGAUAUCAAACCAAGCCAGAGACGGUACGAGAUCAUGUGGGAGACUGAUAGCGGCCUACCGGAGAGAGUUCAAAAUGCAUGGGCAAAUGCAGGGGCAAAGGUAAACCUGGGUGAUAUUCGCCGUGGCCUGUGUGAAUUGAUGGUUGAGCUACAUGUAUGGAGCAAAUCUAGAUUCGACAGUGUGGUAUGUGAACUCAAGAAGUCUAGAACAAGGCUGGAGGAGUUGUUGAGAAUGAAUGCUGAUCGAAAUGAAAUACAGGCUGUACAAGACCAUAUGAAUGAUCUCAUGUACAAGGAAGAAAUCAUGUGGUUGCAAAGGUCACGUAUUGAUUGGUUGCGUGAAGGAGACCGCAACACAAUUUUUUUUCACCAGCAGGCAGUUUGGAGAGCAAGAAAAAAAUAA